GCUAACGUAGCUUAAUUAAAGCAUGACACUGAAGAUGUUAAGAUGGGCCCUAGAAAGCCUCGUAAGCA
rnacentral:tRNA from 1 species